CCUACGGGAGGCAGCAGUGAGGAAUAUUGGUCAAUGGGCGCGAGCCUGAACCAGCCAAGUCGCGUGAGGGAAGACGGUCCUAUGGAUUGUAAACCUCUUUUGUCGGGGGACAAAAGACGCCACGCGUGGCGUUCCGAGAGUACCCGAAGAAAAAGCAUCGGCUAACUCCGUGCCAGCAGCCGCGGUAAUACGGAGGAUGCGAGCGUUAUCCGGAUUUAUUGGGUUUAAAGGGUGCGCAGGCGGAAGGUCAAGUCAGCGGUAAAAUUGAGAGGCUCAACCUCUUCGAGCCGUUGAAACUGGUUGUCUUGAGUGAGCGAGAAGUAUGCGGAAUGCGUGGUGUAGCGGUGAAAUGCAUAGAUAUCACGCAGAACUCCGAUUGCGAAGGCAGCAUACCGGCGCUCAACUGACGCUCAUGCACGAAAGUGUGGGUAUCGAACAGGAUUAGAUACCCUAGUAGUC
rnacentral:rRNA from 1 species